rnacentral:rRNA from 1 species
GGAAUAUUGCACAAUGGGGGAAACCCUGAUGCAGCCAUGCCGCGUGUGUGAAGAAGGCCUUCGGGUUGUAAAGCACUUUCAGUAGGGAGGAAAGGAUGUAGUUUAAUACGCUAUAUCUGUGACGUUACCUACAGAAGAAGGACCGGCUAACUCCGUGCCAGCAGCCGCGGUAAUACGGAGGGUCCGAGCGUUAAUCGGAAUUACUGGGCGUAAAGCGUGCGCAGGCGGUUUGUUAAGCGAGAUGUGAAAGCCCUGGGCUCAACCUAGGAAUAGCAUUUCGAACUGGCGAACUAGAGUCUUGUAGAGGGGGGUAGAAUUCCAGGUGUAGCGGUGAAAUGCGUAGAGAUCUGGAGGAAUACCGGUGGCGAAGGCGGCCCCCUGGACAAAGACUGACGCUCAUGCACGAAAGCGUGGGGAGCAAACAGGAUUAGAUACCCCUG